rnacentral:rRNA from 1 species
UACAGAGGGUGCGAGCGUUACUCGGAAUUACUGGGCGUAAAGCGUGCGCAGGCGGUUUUGUAAGUCUGUCGUGAAAGCCCCGGGCUCAACCUGGGAAUUGCGAUGGAGACUGCAAGGCUUGAAUCUGGCAGAGGGGGGUAGAAUUCCACGUGUAGCAGUGAAAUGCGUAGAGAUGUGGAGGAGCACCGAUGGCGAAGGCAGCCCCCUGGGUCAAGAUUGACGCUCAUGCACGAAAGCGUGGGGAGCAAACAGG